AUUGAACGCUGGCGGCAGGCCUAACACAUGCAAGUCGAACGAGUGGCGGACGGGUGAGUAAUGUCUGGGAAACUGCCCGAUGGAGGGGGAUAACUACUGGAAACGGUAGCUAAUACCGCAUCCCAUCGGAUGUGCCCAGAUGGGAUUAGCUAGUAGGUGGGGUAACGGCCCAACUAGGAGACGAUCCCUAGCUGGUCUGAGCGGAUGACCAUCCACACGGGACCUGAGAGACGGUCCAGACUCCGACGGGGGGCAGCAGUGGGGAAUAUUGCCAAAUGGGCGCAAUCCUGAUGCAGCCAUGCCGCGUGUAUGAAGAAGGCCUUCGGGUUGUAAACCGCUUUCAGCCAUGACGCGGUAGUGGCAGAAGAAGCACCGGCUAACUACGUGCCAGCAGCCGCGGUAAUUC
rnacentral:rRNA from 1 species